GACGAACGCUGGCGGCGUGCUUAACACAUGCAAGUCGAACGAAAAGAGGGAAAGAGCUUGCUCUUUCCGGAAUUGAGUGGCAAACGGGUGAGUAACACGUAAACAACCUGCCUUCAGGAUGGGGACAACAGACGGAAACGACUGCUAAUACCGAAUAAGUUCCAAGGGCCGCAUGGCCCAUGGAAGAAAAGGUGGCCUCUACCUGUAAGCUAUCGCCUGAAGAGGGGUUUGCGUCUGAUUAGCUGGUAGGAGGGGUAACGGCCCACCAAGGCGACGAUCAGUAGCCGGUCUGAGAGGAUGAACGGCCACACUGGAAUUGAGACACGGUCCAGACUCCUACGGGAGGCAGCAGUGGGGAAUCUUCCGCAAUGGGCGAAAGCCUGACGGAGCAACGCCGCGUGAGUGAUGACGGCCUUCGGGUUGUAAAACUCUGUGAUCCGGGACGAAAAGGCAGAGUGCGAAGAACAAACUGCAUUGACGGUACCGGAAAAGCAAGCCACGGCUAACUACGUG
rnacentral:rRNA from 1 species